rnacentral:rRNA from 1 species
GACGAACGCUGGCGGCGUGCUUAACACAUGCAAGUCGAACGGAAAGGCCCUGCUUUUGUGGGGUGCUCGAGUGGCGAACGGGUGAGUAACACGUGAGUAACCUGCCCUUGACUUUGGGAUAACUUCAGGAAACUGGGGCUAAUACCGGAUAGGAGCUCCUGCUGCAUGGUGGGGGUUGGAAAGUUUCGGCGGUUGGGGAUGGACUCGCGGCUUAUCAGCUUGUUUGUGGGGUAGUGGCUUACCAAGGCUUUGACGGGCAGCCGGCCUGAGAGGGUGACCGGCCACAUUGGGACUGAGAUACGGCCCAGACUCCUACGGGAGGCAGCAGUGGGGAAUAUUGCACAAUGGGCGGAAGCCUGAUGCAGCAACGCCGCGUGCGGGAUGACGGCCUUCGGGUUGUAAACCGCUUUCGCCUGUGACGAAGCGUGAGUGACGGUAAUGGGUAAAGAAGCACCGGCUAACUACGUG